AAAUCUAAAGGUAGAUAAGCUAUAUUAAAAACGAAGUGUCAUGGAAAUUUGCAAUCCAUUUAUGGUCAGCAAUGGCGUUGUUUCCUCGAUAAUCAGUUUUUAGCCUCGACGAUGCAUUAGCUGCAAUCCGAAGAAAACAACUGAUUUCAUUUUAUCAUGGCAGAAAUUUCAUACAUGAAUACCAACUAAACUAUCGAAUGGCUACGUCGCUGAUAUGAGCGGAUUUAACAAUGGAAACGCGGUGUUAUUACCAGUUAAAAAUUACCACAAACGAAGAAUUUGGGAAUAUAUAUCUUACCUUUCGACUGUAUUGUUCACGUAUGUCGAUAGUAUCUUUAAAUUUACGACUGUAUAGCGACAGAAUACGAUUGUUUGUGAAUUGCGAUAUCAAGAUAGAUAUGUGAUAUCAUAGGUCAUGAACUUAUCAUGAAGUUACUCGUAGCUCGUACACAAAUACAGGUUAUGUUAAUUCACGAACGAAUAUGCUAAUCUUGAAAAUAAAAGCUGACUUCAGACGCAUGUUUUGCGACGAAAAGAAAGAAGUAACGUUUGUUUCUUGAAAGAGUCAAUGUAUUUUGUUAGUAAUAGUCAAAUGGUAUUGGAAAUAUUUCUCUAUAUUUAUAUACUGGUUAAAAACAUAGUUCUCUAGCGACAAAA